rnacentral:rRNA from 1 species
UGGCGGACGGGUGAGUAAUGUCUGGGAAACUGCCUGAUGGAGGGGGGUAACUACUGGAAACGGUAGCUAAUACCGCAUAACGUCGCAAGACCAAAGAGGGGGACCUUCGGGCCUCUUGCCAUCGGAUGUGCCCAGAUGGGAUUAGCUAGUAGGUGGGGUAAAGGCUCACCUAGGCGACGAUCCCUAGCUGGUCUGAAAGGAUGACCAGCCACACUGGAACUGAGACACGGUCCAG